GACGAACGCUGGCGGCGUGCUUAACACAUGCAAGUCGAACGAAGAGCGAUGGAAGCUUGCUUCUAUCAAUCUUAGUGGCGCACGUGUGAGUAACGCGUAAUCAACCUGCCCUUCAGAGGGGGACAACAGUUGGAAACGACUGCUAAUACCGCAUACGAUCUAAUCUCGGCAUCGAGGAUAUAUUAAAGGUGGCCUCUACAUGUAAGCUAUCACUUAAGGAGGGGUUUGCGUCUGAUUAGCUAGUUGGAGGUGUAACGGCCCACCAAUGGGAUGAUCAGUAGCCGGUCUGAGAGGAUGAACGGCCAAAAUGGGAAGGAGAAACGGCCCAGAAUACUACGGGAGGCAGCAGUGGGGAAUCUUCCGCAAUGGACGAAAGUCUGACGGAGAAACGCCGCGUGAGUGAGGACGGCCUUCGGGUUGUAAAGCUCUGUUAAUCGGGACGAAAGGCAUUCUUGCGAAUAGUGAGAAGGAUUGACGGUACCGGAAUAGAAAGCCACGGCUAACUACGUG
rnacentral:rRNA from 1 species